AUGUAAUUAGUUAAGCUGAGGUCAUACUGACAUGAGGUGGGCUCUAAUCCAAUAUGACUGAUGUCCUUAUAAAAAGGGGAAAU